UUCCUACGGGACGCAGCAGUGGGGAAUAUUGGGCAAUGGAGGCAACUCUGACCCAGCAACGCCGCGUGAGCGAUGAAGGUCUUCGGAUUGUAAAGCUCUGUCGCAGGGGACGAAGUAUGACGGUACCCUGUAAGAAAGCCCCGGCAAACUACGUGCCAGCAGCCGCGGUAAUACGUAGGGGGCUAGCGUUGUCCGGAAUUACUGGGCGUAAAGGGAGUGUAGACGGCUUGUCAAGUUAAGUGUGAAAGCCUGCGGCUUAACCGCAGAAUUGCACUUAAAACUGACUCGCUAGAGUGCAGGAGAGG
rnacentral:rRNA from 1 species